UACGGAGGGGGCUAGCGUUGUUCGGAAUUACUGGGCGUAAAGCGCGCGUAGGCGGCUUUGUAAGUCAGAGGUGAAAGCCCGGAGCUCAACUUCGGAAUUGCCUUUAAGACUGCAUCGCUUGAAUCAUGGAGAGGUCAGUGGAAUUCCGAGUGUAGAGGUGAAAUUCGUAGAUAUUCGGAAGAACACCAGUGGCGAAGGCGACUGACUGGACAUGUAUUGACGCUGAGGUGCGAAAGCGUGGGGAGCAAACAGG
rnacentral:rRNA from 1 species